rnacentral:piRNA from 1 species
ACGAGGACCUAGACUGUGACAACGACC